CACGUAGGGGGCAAGCGUUGCUCGGAAUCACUGGGCGUAAAGGGUGCGUAGGCGGGUCUUUAAGUCAGGGGUGAAAUCCUGGAGCUCAACUCCAGAACUGCCUUUGAUACUGAAGAUCUUGAGUUCGGGAGAGGUGAGUGGAACUGCGAGUGUAGAGGUGAAAUUCGUAGAUAUUCGGAAGAACACCAGUGGCGAAGGCGGCUCACUGGCCCGGUACUGACGCUGAGGUGCGAAAGCGUGGGGAGCAAACAGG
rnacentral:rRNA from 1 species